rnacentral:rRNA from 1 species
UUAGUGGAAGCGUCUGGAAAGGCGCGCGAUACAGGGUGACAGCCCCGUACACAAAAGCGCAUGUGCUGUGAGCUCGAUGAGUAGGGCGGGACACGUGGUAUCCUGUCUGAAUAUGGGGGGACCAUCCUCCAAGGCUAAAUACUCCUGACUGACCGAUAGUGAACCAGUACCGUGAGGGAAAGGCGAAAAGAACCCCGGCGAGGGGAGUGAAAAAGAACCUGAAACCGUGUACGUACAAGCAGUGGGAGCACCCUUUGGGGUGUGACUGCGUACCUUUUGUAUAAUGGGUCAGCGACUUAUAUUCUGUAGCAAGGUUAACCGUAUAGGGGAGCCGGAGGGAAACCGAGUCUUAAUUGGGCGUUAAGUUGCAGGGUAUAGACCCGAAACCCGGUGAUCUAGCCAUGGGCAGGUUGAAGGUUGGGUAACACUAACUGGAGGACCGAACCGACUAAUGUUGAAAAAUUAGCGGAUGACCUGUGGCUGGGGGUGAAAGGCCAAUCAAACCGGGAGAUAGCUGGUUCUCCCCGAAAGCUAUUUAGGUAGCGCCUCGUGAAUUCAUCUCCGGGGGUAGAGCACUGUUUCGGCUAGGGGGCCAUCCCGGCUUACCAACCCGAUGCAAACUGCGAAUACCGGAGAAUGUUAUCACGGGAGACACACGGCGGGUGCUAACGUCCGUCGUGAAGAGGGAAACAACCCAGACCGCCAGCUAAGGUCCCAAAGUCAUGGUUAAGUGGGAAACGAUGUGGGAAGGCCCAGACAGCCAGGAUGUUGGCUUAGAAGCAGCCAUCAUUUAAAGAAAGCGUAAUAGCUCACUGGUCGAGUCGGCCUGCGCGGAAGAUGUAACGGGGCUAAACCAUGCACCGAAGCUGCGGCAGCGA